rnacentral:lncRNA from 1 species
ACUAUCGGCUUGCAAGUCUGUUUAGUUUGAAAUCGAGGCCGAGCUCUUAUCAUCUCGCUCCUUCAUGCGUCGCUCCAAAUGAAUUCGGGAUCCGGGUCCAACAUUAUAUAAAUAUGGUAAAUGAUUUCUCUAACUGGUUUCACUUUCACCCCUUAUUUUAGUUGUAAUUGAGAUCUGACAUUAAAGCUAAAGUUCACUAUGAAAAGGGCUCCAAUGCUUAGAGAAUAUAAAAAAAAAUCAUCACAACUCACACAUAUUGAUAUGCCGACAUAGUGUGACUGAUAAAAAUCAACUGAGGAACAAUAGAGUUUCACUUACGUAAUUAUUUUUUUUUAAAAAGAGAAAGAAAUGGGAAUAGGUUUUUGUGAAAAGUAUAAAAUAAAGAAGCCAACAAGAUGGUUCCCAGAUUUGGGUCUCCCACUUAGCUCUGUUGGAAUCCUAAUUCGAGAGCACCACCUCCUCUAACUACUAGUCAAUUCUCCCAUGCCCCUC